rnacentral:lncRNA from 1 species
GAAUGGUGCAGGACUCCCCAGGAGAGGCCAGUCCUUGCUGAGCCCAUUCUGCAAGCCACAUUCCUUCCCAAAUGAUCCAAACCUUGUCCAGACCCUCUCAAAGAGCCAUUCCAAGCUUUCUGAACACUCUGCAACUGUGCAGAAGGCCAGAUCAGAGGCUUUUGUGCACUACCAGGGAGAUGCCUUGGCUGAUCCGGAACACUUGGCACAGCUCUGCCACAAGUGCAAUUAUUGGCAGCAUCCGCUACAGAAAAAAUGCAGUAUGGUGAAUAUUACAUGAAUGGAUUUUGAGACAGACUUCCUGGACUGAAUCCUAGCUCCAACACUUACUAGCUGUGUGACUGCAAACAAGUUACAUAACCUCUCUGGACCUUUUCCAAAAUGUCAAAUGAAUGGUGUGAUGAAGUGUAAAGAAGUAUGCGACGUGGAUGUGGCAGAGCUGUCACACAGAGAGGACUAUGACUAUCAGAGAAGAUGACUCUCCGACUACCUUCUAUCUUCCUGUACAAACACCUGUCCCAAACCAUUCUCCCUUGGAAACUUCAAGAAGUGGUAAAGUGGUGUGCUCCAUCUUGAUGCACACCUGAGUAGGAUGGGCAUAUAUGGCCCACACUGAAAUGUGGAGGUGGAUUUUCCUAGAGCGGGUGGAUCACCUCUGACCUAUAGUUAAGGACAAAGCUUAUUUCUAGGAAUAGGAUUUUUUUUUAACUGAAAAAGCACAUCUUCACCAAAAUCCAUAUUUAAUCUAAGAAAACUGCACCUAGAGAGCCCUUCCAUCAGUUAUAUAUUAUUCUCAUCAAAUUGCAGCCACAAAGAAAAGCCUAGGUAGGAAGAGCCUAGCCAGGCAGCUGAGGCCAGAAGGUGACAAAAACAUCCCUGCCAAGAAAAGAGAAAAUAUUUGCAUAAAUGUUUGCACAACUUGGUGUUGCCCAUCACUCCUUGCACUCUUCCUGGUGUCUGUGGUUACCUGUAAUCUAUUUCCUCUUCUCUCCGUUAACAAGUCAAAAUAUCAUCAGCGUGGCUCUGUGUACCAGUUGACUUUUACAGUUGAAUAGUCUCUGUGUCUGAGAGUGAAAAUGUCAGAUUCUCUGCCCUUAUUCUCUCCCACAUACCAUAGCCCUUUCUGCCUAGGGUUCUUGAUUGUUGGGGUUCUUCUGCAUUCUUCCAGGACAUUGAAGUUCUAUGGUUGUGGACGUUUUCAGGAGUUGUCUUGGAAGGAAAAGUUGGAAUCUAAUGUGCAUGGUAUUUAUCAGGGGUUGAUACCUAUGGAAGGGAGGGGAAAAAAACAAGAUAAGACAGAGAAAGAAACAGGACUGUGGUGAGGGUAAGAGGUCAGACAAAGACUUACCAACCCAGUGGGAAGUUGUGAAGUAAAUAUAGCCCAUCAAUGUUGUCAUAUAUUGACCAACUUCUCCUGGGUUGCCAGAUUUUCCUUGUUUUAGCACUGAAGAUCUCAUAUUCUGUACGUCCUGUCAUCCUGGGCAAAGCAGGACAACUGGUUGCCCUAGCACCUGUCUCAUAUUGGGCUUUGUGUCUCACUGAGGUUCAUAUUUUGACGCCGAGGCUGACUUGAAGGAACUGCGGGUAGAAGCUGUCUGCUUACCCCAUUACAGAAACUGAACAGCCAGCCCUUGCCAGAAGGGAGGUCUGAGUGCUGCAUCCCUGGUUCCACCACAGGGAGGUAGGAUGCUGCAGGACCCGAAGGACCUAGCUCUCUUCCUUUUUUUUCCUCUUGUCUCUGGUCCUCCUGCCGCUUUGUUUGACAAUAAGCAUGGCCUUUGGAGAUAGGCAUGAAUUUAAAUCCUAGGUGGGCCAAUCACUAGUUAUGCAACCUUGGGCAAGGCCAACUUCUGAAGCCCCAGUUUCCCAUCUUGUGGGUUAAUAGUAGAAAUUCAGUGAGGUCAUAUACGUGUAGAAUCAGCACAAAGUAGGUCUUGGAUAAGGAUGAGCCCAUGUUAUUUUUAAGGGGAAAAUCUCCCACCCUGGAAAAUGGCAGAGAAAAGUACCUCAAGCAGCCCCCACUCUGAGCAGCUUCCUGCCUCCCCGCCUGCCCUUUCAUCCCCUUAUUAAAGGUCCCUCUCACUUUCCCCACCCACUGAAGAGUUUCCACGACUGUGUAAUCCCAUGAAAACAGCAGCCAUCCCCACAUUACAACCAGGAAUUCUGAAAUAUAUGAAAUACACAGUGGCAGCCAGAACAGAGUGGCUUUUACUUAGGACUGCUGGCUCUGGUAAAAAUCUGAGUCAAAGAAGGAAUAGAAGGCAUCAACAGCCUGUGUUCUUUGAGGUCCCUAUAAUUCUGAACUGUGGGCAAAGAAAGGGUAAUGCUGACUGAGCUUGAAAAGGUGCAGUGGAAGGCAAACAAAUAAAUGAUUUAAGGUUUUGGAAGAAAGACUUUUGAAGAAAGCUUGACCUUAACCUUUGGAGCUUAGAGCAAAGCUCCACUGAGUGAAGGUGGGUUGCAGUAGUAAAUUGGUCUGGACAAAACACAUAGAGAGUCAUUAUGAGAAGAGAAAACCCUCCUCACCUUGUUGGGGCAGUGACUGCUGAUAAGACACGUCCUGAAAGGGCAGCCUGCUGAGAAGAAUCGAGCUAAAUUCAAGGACAAUAGCAAUCCUCAUUAGGGCCAAAAGCCAGGGGCUGUGAUAUGCAGGUCAGCUUACCAGGCUAUUUCAGGAGCUGCUUGCCUGUGGCUAGUUGGCUCUGUUGGAUGGAGCAGUGAGUUAAUGAGGCCAAGGGCAGGAGGCUGACUUUCUGCAAAAGCCAGCUAGCUUUAUACGUUUGCCAGCUAGCUUUAUACAUUUCCAUGGCCAUGGAUUCCACCACUAAGCUAGACCAUGCAGCUCACACCUAGGUGCUUAAUUGCUGUCAGGGUCUCAAGUUUACACUCUGAAGAUUUCACAGAAUUCUUAGCCAAUACGCAGAUAUGCUAUUUUGUUGGAGGCUCAACCAAUGGUCUAGCCUAGCAGUAAGAUGUUAAUUCAAUUACACGUUUAUUCAUUCUGUCAGUCAACAAAUACUUGAGUGCAUACACUGCUGUUCUGUAAAGAUAUUGUGCCAGGUGCUUUGUAUGGCAGUAAAUACGAAGAAAGAAAGACAUAAAACUAAAGAAACAGAAAAUUCAACACAGGAGAGAGGCAAAGAGAAUACCCAGGUUGAUAAGCAUGGAAGUUCCGAGAUGACAACUGACAAUUAUGUGGCAAUACUAAGGGAAAAAAAAAGGAUUCCUGAUUAGAAAGAUAGGACAAGGCCGGGCACAGUGGCUCACCCCUGUAAUCCCAGAACUUGGGGAGGCCAAGGUGGUUGGAUCACCUAAGGUCAAGAGUUCAAGACCAC